rnacentral:rRNA from 1 species
CCUAGUUGAUCUUGCCAGUAGUCAUAUGCUUGUCUCAAAGAUUAAGCCAUGCAUGUGUAAGUAUGAACUAAUUCAGACUGUGAAACUGUGAAUGGCUCAUUAAAUCAGUUAUAGUUUGUUUGAUGGUACUACUACUCGGAUAACCAUAGUAAUUCUAGACCUAAUACGUGCAACAAACCCUAACUUCUGAAAGGGAUGCAUUUAUUAAAUAAAAGGUCGAUGCAGGCUAUGCCCGUUGCUGUGUGAUUCAUGAUAACUCGACGGAUCGCACGGCUUUUGUGCCGGUGAUGCAUCAUUCAAAUUUUUGCCCUAUCAACUUUCGAUGGAAGGAUAGUCGCCUACUAUGGUGGUGACGGGUGACAGAGAAUUAGGGUUUGAUUCCGUAGAGGGAGCCUGAGAAACGGCUACCACAUCCAAGGAAGGCAGCAGGCGCGUAAAUUACCCAAUCCUGACACGAAGAGGUAGUGACAAUAAAUAACAAUAUCGGGCUCUAUGAGUUAGGAAAUUGGAAUGAGUACAAUCUAAAUCCCUUAACGAGGAUCCAUUGGACGGCAGUCUGGUGCCAGUAGCCGCGGUAAUUCCAGCUCCAAUAGCGUAUAUUUAAGUUGUUGCAUUUUAAAAGCUCGUAGUUAAAACUAGGGUUGGGUCAUCCAGUCUACCUCACGGUGAGCAUCGAUCUACUCGAUCCUUAUUACCGACGAUGCACUCCUGGACUUAAUUGCCUGAGUCAUUCCUCCAGUGCUGUUACUUUGAAGAAAUUAGAGUGCUCAAAGCAGGCUUACGCUUGUAUACAUUAGCAUGGGAUAACAUCAUAGGAUUUUGAUCCUAUUUUGUUGGCCUUCGGGAUUGGAGUAAUGAUUAACAGGGACAGUCGGGGGGAGUAUGGUCGCAAGGCUAAAACUUAAAGGAAUUGACGAAAUGGCACCACCAAGAGUGGAGCCUGCGACUUAAUUUGACUCAACACGGGGAAACUUACCAGGUCCAGACAUAGUAAGGAUUGACAGACUGAGAGCUCUUUCUUGAUUCUAUGGGUGGUGGUGCAUGGCCGUUCUUAGUUGGUGAAGCGAUUUGCCUGGUUAAUUCCAUUAACGAAUGAGACUUCAGCCUGCUAACUAGCUACGCGAAGGUGAUCCUUCGUGGCUAGCUUCUUAGAGGGACUAUGGCCACUUAGGCCAAGGAAGUUUGAGGCAAUAAUAGGUCUGUUAUACCCUUAGAUGUUCUGGGCUGCACGCGCGCUACACUGAUGUAUUCAACGAGUCUAUAGCCUUGGCUGACAGGCCCGGGUAAUCUUUGAAAUUUCAUCGUGAUGGGGAUAGAUCAUUGCAAUUGUUGGUCUUCAAUGAGGAAUUCCUAGUAAGCGUGAGUCAUCAGCUCACAUUGACUAUGUCUCUGCCCUUUGUAUACACCGCCCGUCGCUCCUACCGAUUGAAUGGUCUGGUGAAGUGUUCGGAUCGCAGCGACAUGGACAGUUGACCACCCGUGACGUCGCGAGAAGUCCACUGAACCUUAUCAUUUAGAGGAAGGAAAAGUCGUAACAAGGUUUUUGUAGGUGAACCUGCAGAAG